AGUCAUAUGCUUGUCUCAAAGAUUAAGCCAUGCAUGUCUCAGUACAAGCCAAAUUAAGGUGAAACCGCGAAAGGCUCAUUAAAUCAGUUAUGGUUCCUUAGAUCGUACCCACACUUACUUGGAUAACUGUGGUAAUUCUAGAGCUAAUACAUGCAAAUAGAGCCCCGACUGGNNNNAGACGGGAGGGNGCGCNNNUUUUAUUAGAUCAAAACCAAUCGGCGUNCGGGUCNNAAACCGUCGUCGUGCUCUUUGGUGACUCUGAAUAACNUUGUUGCUGAUCGCACGGUCCAGCACCGGCGACGCAUCUUUCAAAUGUCUGCCUUAUCANACUGUCGAUGGUAGGUUCUGCGCCUACCAUGGUUGUAACGGGUAACGGGGAAUCAGGGUUCGAUUCCGGAGAGGGAGCCUGAGAAACGGCUACCACAUCCAAGGAAGGCAGCAGGCGCGCAAAUUACCCACUCCCGGCACGGGGAGGUAGUGACGAAAAAUAACGAUACGGGACUCAUCCNGAGGCCCCGUAAUCGGAAUGAGUACACUCUAAACCCUUUAACGAGGAUCAAUUGGAGGGUAAGUCUGGUGCCAGCAGCCGCGGUAAUUCCAGCUCCAAUAGCGUAU
rnacentral:rRNA from 2 species